rnacentral:rRNA from 1 species
CAACUUUCAACAACGGAUCUCUUGGUUCUGGCAUCGAUGAAGAACGCAGCGAAAUGCGAUACGUAGUGUGAAUUGCAGAAUUCAGUGAAUCAUCGAAUCUUUGAACGCACAUUGCGCCCUUUGGUAUUCCAAAGGGCAUGCCUGUUCGAGCGUCAUUUGUACCUUC